AAAAGGUGGCUAUGCUACCGCUUUUGGAUGGGCCCGCGGCGCAUUAGCUAGUUGGUGGGGUAAAGGCUUACCAAGGCAAUGAUGCGUAGCCGAACUGAGAGGUUGAUCGGCCACAUUGGGACUGAGACACGGCCCAAACUCCUACGGGAGGCAGCAGUAGGGAAUCCUCCACAAUGGGCGAAAGCCUGAUGGAGCAACGCCGCGUGGGUGAAGAAGGUCUUCGGAUCGUAAAACCCUGUUGUUAGAGAAGAAAGUGCGUGAGAGUAACUGUUCACGUUUCGACGGUAUCUAACCAGAAAGCCACGGCUAACUACGUGCCAGCAGCCGCGGUAAUACGUAGGUGGCAAGCGUUAUCCGGAUUUAUUGGGCGUAAAGGGAACGCAGGCGGUCUUUUAAGUCUGAUGUGAAAGCCUUCGGCUUAACCGGAGUAGUGCAUUGGAAACUGGGAGACUUGAGUGCAGAAGAGGAGAGUGGAACUCCAUGUGUAGCGGUGAAAUGCGUAGAUAUAUGGAAGAACACCAGUGGCGAAAGCGGCUCUCUGGUCUGUAACUGACGCUGAGGUUCGAAAGCGUGGGUAGCAAACAGGAUUAGAUACCCUGGUAGUCCACGCCGUAAACGAUGAAUGCUAAGUGUUGGAGGGUUUCCGCCCUUCA
rnacentral:rRNA from 1 species